rnacentral:rRNA from 1 species
UGAACGCUGGCGGCGUGGAUUAGGCAUGCAAGUCGAACGGGAUUCUUAAGACCCGUAAGGGUUUUAAGCGUCUAGUGGCAAAAGGGUGAGUAACACGUAGGUAAUUUACCCCUGAACCUGGGACAACCUCGCGAAAGCGGGGCUAAUACCGGAUAAGCUCACAGGCUCCUCGGAGCCAGGGAGAAAAGGAGGGGAUCUUCGGACCUUCCAUUCAUGGAUAAGCCUGCGUCCUAUUAGCUAGUUGGUAGGGUAAGAGCCUACCAAGGCUUUGAUGGGUAGCCGAGCUGAGAGGCUGACCGGCCACAUUGGGACUGAGACACUGCCCAAACUCCUACGGGAGGCUGCAGUCGAGAAUCUUUCGCAAUGGGGGAAACCCUGACGAAGCGACGCCGCGUGAGGGAUGACGGCCCUCGGGUUGUAAACCUCUGUUGCAUAGGACGAAAAAUAUGGGAACGAAUAAUUCCCGUAUCUGACGGUACUGUGUUAGAAAGCCCCGGCUAAACUC